GACUCCGUAGCUCAGUUGGUAGAGCAAUUGACUCUUAAUCAAUGGGUCGAGGGUUCGAGCCCCUCCGGGGUCACCU
rnacentral:tRNA from 1 species